AUGGCUCGGUUUGGAAUAAAACGGGACGUUGCGAGAUCGAUAAUGUUGAAUUUCAUUAACUUUGGUUUGGCUUUCAUAUUAGUUUCAGCUGAGAGAAGCUUGAAGAAUGGAGAAUCGAGCGAGGAAUCUAAAACGAAUGAUAAUUAUUUUGUCAAAGCUAUUCAUUUCUUAUGGAAACCUGAUCAAUCAGGUUAUCACCAUGUUUGGCCUGAAAUGGAAUUUAAUUGGCAAUCUGUGCUGGGAACUUGUAUUGGAUUUUGUGGGGCAGCGUUUGGGAGUGUAGGAGGGGUAGGUGGAGGUGGCAUUUUUGUUCCCAUGCUUAGCCUUAUUGUUGGGUUUGAUCCAAAGUCUGCAACAGCUAUUUCAAAAUGUAUGAUCAUGGGUGCAGCAGCUUCAACUGUUUACUACAACCUUAAGCUAAGGCACCCCACACUUGAUAUGCCUAUCAUUGAUUAUGAUUUGGCUCUUCUUAUCCAGCCAAUGCUCAUGCUUGGAAUUAGCAUAGGAGUCGCUUUUAAUGUGAUCUUUGCGGACUGGAUGGUCACAGUUUUACUUAUUAUUCUCUUUGUAGGAACAUCAACUAAGGCAUUCUUCAAGGGUGUCGAAACAUGGAAAAAGGAAACCAUACUGAAGCAGGAGGCAGCCAGGCGCUUGGAAUCAAAUGGUACUAGUAGUGAAAAUGUGGAUUACAGGCCUCUACCCAGUGGCCCAAACACUGUUCCUCCGAAGGAUAGCACAGACCAAAAAGUCACUGUUUUGGACAACGUUUGCUGGAAAGAACUUGGGCUUCUUUGUUUUGUUUGGUUUGCAUUCCUUGUACUGCAGAUUUCCAAGAACCAUACAACUACUUGUUCUGUAGGGUAUUGGGUGUUGAACUUGUUGCAGAUCCCAGUUUCAGUCGCAGUAUCUGCAUAUGAGGCAGUUAGUCUCUACAAAGGAAAUAGAGCAAUUGCAUCCAAGGAGAACAAGGCUCAAAUUUUCAAGCGCAUCAGCUUGUUAGUUACUGUUUUUUCGGAGUACUAGCCGGGAUUGUUGGUGGUCUACUUGGCCUGGGUGGAGGAUUUAUCAUGGGUCCACUAUUCUUGGAGUUAGGUAUCCCCCCUCAGGUCUCAAGUGCCACAGCAACCUUUGCCAUGACUUUCUCUUCAUCUAUGUCAGUCGUAGAAUAUUACCUUCUGAAACGUUUUCCAGUACCUUAUGCUCUCUACUUCACUGCUGUGGCUACUUUUGCUGCCUUUGUUGGACAACAUGUCGUGAGAAGGCUGAUAAUUGUAUUUGGAAGGGCAUCUUUGAUUAUCUUCAUUCUAGCAUUCACCAUAUUCGUUAGCGCAGUAUCACUAGGUGGCGUUGGCAUAUCAAACAUGAUUGACAAGAUUCAUCAUAAUGAAUAUAUGGGAUUCGAGAACCUCUGCAAGUAUGAAAGCUAGCACUUUAGGCUUUCUUCUUCUGUUUUUUCCUCAUAUUACCCUAGUGUUUUUCCCUCAAAGGCAAGCAAUAAAAUUGCCCUUGUAUUUGUUUCAUUCUUUGGGUUGUAGGCAAGAAAGAUACCAAUGAUUUCGAUAGUUUUAGCCAUAGCUUUGUUUUUAGGCUAAAUGGGGUAGCGUGAGUCUCGAACUUUAGCAAUUCCCGAAAGUAUUAACGAGUACUCAACCAACUUAUAUUUGCCAAUUGUUUUUUCACUUUCCAUGUUGUAAUUUUGUAUUAUUGGAAGUUCCUGGUUCUUUGUCCUUGCUGGUGUCAAAAGACCUACAUAUUCAAGACAACCUUUUACUCU